ensembl:lncRNA
UCACUUAGAAAUGGUGAAUUUUAAAAGGAGGAGUAUAUUAAAGAAAUUAUUUAUGCCCCAAAACAACCAACAUUCUCACUGCUUCUUGAGAAAACUUGUCUGAAUAUUUGUUGCACGAUCGUGCACCAUUUCUGUUCAAGUGAGUUGAUAUUUCUGCUGAGUUCUAAAUAAUUCAUUAUUCAGCUAAGCAAAGGUAAAGUGACAAGGAAAAAACCAGUAAGGUCUAUUUCUAUGCCCGUUUGCAAAUGGAACACAGUGCUCAAAUGGCAUAUUUUCGGAAAAGCAGCGAUUUCAGUUCGGUAUUCCGAACACUCAUCUCGCUUUCCCUUGCACCACCUCUCAGUAGUUGUUAUCUUUCAGCUGCCAUCCAUUUGCUAUUGACAGAGUUCCAAACAAUAUUCAAUAGGUCAUGCAGUGUAAGAGGAAAGAAACCCACACUCCUACACACUCACGCAAAGCACACUAUAUUUUCCUCAACUACUUUUUCUUUCUGCCUGUUUCCCUACCAGGAGUCUUUUAUUCCCCCCCUAUGUCUUUCUGUCCACAUUUUCAGAGCUUUUUCAAUUAUUGUCACUGUUGCUGACCAUCCAUAAGUAUCACGAAGAGUUCUCAUGCCUAGCUUUCCACUCCUCUUAUACUGUUACCCUCCUUGACAUUACAUAUGUGGUAUCCAAGAGAAGAAAAGCAGCCAGGCCAUGAAAUGCAAAGCCACUCGGGGGCAACAUUAUCUGCGGGUCUACAAGGGUAGGUAAGAACAGAAAGGAAGGAAGGAGUCAAACAAGAAGAGGAACUGAAAAGCUUGAAGGAGAUGGUACAAGGCUGCUUCAACAGGUGCACUAAAAAUAGAUUGGAAAAGAUGGACUAAGUGCCAGGAACAUAGCAUCAAUCCCAGCCAGCAUAAGAAUUCUUGAAAGGUAGUAGUGAAAAGAAACUGUUCCAUAGCUUCCAAGAGUCUAUGAAUAGGGUAUCUUCAGAAGGAAGUAAUCAAUUAAAUGCACAUGGUAUUAAAUUCUCCUUUCAAAGUAAAGAAUUUUAUCUGCAGUUCAAACCAUUUUUAAUCUAUCCAGAAUUAAGUUGUAUCACUGUACCCUUAAAAGGUACAACAACAGAAUAUCACAUAAUAUUUAAAAAAAAAAUCAGCUCCAUGUAGGCUGAUUUCAGCUCUGUUUUUUUUGACCACUCCAAGGAGCAGUGAACAUGCCAUGCCUGUGGAGGGAGAGCCAUUGAAAAGCAAGAAGAAUGAUAACAAGCAGAAGAUAGUUCUCUACUGGUGCCUUCCUUUUACCAAUAUGCUUACUUAGUUCCGAUACUGCUUCAAGAUUCAGUAGCAUUUUCUUUGGACUGCACAUGGUACAAUUAGCAGUUACUUGAGCUAGCUACAGGAGCAGGCAGCAGAGAUUCAGAUUCUUUUUCUUUGAAGAACUGUUCCAUCAUAGGGCCAGUAAAUAUACUGGAAAUUUUUAUUUAAAUACACGUAUUCCAAUAGCAUUAGGGUAUGCCAGGAUGCAAGUUACUAGACUUACUGAGAAGCCACUCAAGUGACUGAAAUUACCAUACAUUUUAAUGUAGUUUAUUGCUACCACAAAGUAAACAACACGGCAGCCCCACGUUGGUCACUAAUCCUUUCCUUACAGUUAAAGACUACUGAAAAACAAAGAUUUAGUUUGCAAUUAAAAGACUACAGUGUAUUGAGGGUCUUGGGAAAACUGUAGGUUUUAGUCCAGAGAGCCAAUACUUUCUGGGUUCCAACGGGUGCUUGAACACAAGCGACUUCAGAUGGUGCACUAUAAUAGUGUUCUAAGAGCUGAUGAUGAACACAAAACCAGGGGUAGUCAGAGCUACGGUGGAUUUGAACAGGGAUUGUCUUAAAGAUUUUUUAUCAUAUAGCACAAUAAAGAAACAUUUAAAUAAAUCACUCUUAUCACAAGAAAUAUAUUAAGGUUUCGGUGCCUGGGGAGCAUGGAUCAACUCCACCACAUUUACUGGCUACACUUCAGUUCUCAGUCUGCGAAGUGCAGUAAUGCUAACACAAAGCUGGCUGAAUUUAGGGGCAUGUAAUUACCAGCCUGUAGAAACUCAUUCAUCAACAUCUGCAAGUUCCUGUGUGCCGUUGUAUCUGCAUCAUCUUUGUAUUUUUGAAAACAUUCUUCAGUAUUAUUUGUAAUGAAUUGCUGUGUUACCUUGCACACGUAUGCAUAAUAUGCAACACUAAUUGUAUUCAUGACAUGGAACAUUUUCUUUGCCUGACUGACUGAAAGCAAGAACCCUGACUUACAGGAUUACUCAGUUAAAAAAUAAUUGUGAUGUUUAGCUCAUUAUGGAGCACGUGUAAGAGCUGCAGUGCAUCCAUUCUGGAACUUCAGGGUUCCUAUAGAAUCCUGCGUGAUUUGUUUAUGAUGUGGUGAUGAUUGACUGUCAGUUACUAAUAAAUGGUAAAUAAAA